rnacentral:rRNA from 1 species
UUUAAAUGGCCGCAGUAUAUUAACUGUGCAAAGGUAGCAUAAUCAUUAGUCUUUUAAUUGGAGGCUGGUAUGAAUGGUUGGACGAGAUAUUAACUGUUUCAUAAAAAUUUUUAUUAGAAUUUUAUUUUUUAGUUAAAAAGCUAAAAUUUAUUUAAAAGACGAGAAGACCCUAUAAAUCUUUAUAUUUACAUUAUUAUAAUUUUAUAGAUUAUUUUUGUUAUGAUAAUAAUAAUAUUUUAUUGGGGUGAUAUUAAAAUUUAAUAAACUUUUAAUUUUUAAAAUCAUUAAUUUAUGAAUAAUUGAUCCGUUAUUAACGAUUAAAAAAAUAAGUUACUUUAGGGAUAACAGCGUAAUUUUUUUGGAGAGUUCUUAUCGAUAAAAAAGAUUGCGACCUCGAUGUUGGAUUAAGAUAUAAUUUUAGGUGUAGUCGCUUAAAUUUUAAGUCUGUUCGACUUUUAA